GGGAGAGGCUACCCACUCCAGUAUUCUGGCCUGGAGAGUUCUAUGGAAUGUAUAGUCCAUGGGGUCACAAAGAAUCAGACAUGACUGAGCAACUUUCACUUUCACUUUUUUCGUGCCAGCCAAAGGGAGACAUAGGUUGAGCUGACCUCACAGGAGAAACUUCUCCCAAGCUCACAAAAGGACCAGGCAGGGUUGCCUGAGGCCUUGGGUUCCAGAACCAUGCCAGUAUUUCCUUCUCUCUUCUGAUGGGCUGAUUAAGAGGAAACUGACCACCUGUCAAACCAAUCGAUCCUAAAGGAAAUCAGUCCUGAAUAUUGGAAAGACUGAUGCUGAAGCUGAAACUCCCAAGACUUUGGUCACCUGAUGGGAAGAACUGACUCACUGGAAAAGACCCUGAUGCUGGGAAAGAUUGAAGGUGGGAGGAGAAGGGGACGACAGAGGAUGAGAUUGUUGGAUAGCAUCACCAACACAUUGGACGUGAGUUUGAGAUAGAGUCAAGAGGGCAAACCAGAAGGCCCAGCUUUGGGUUUGACUCCCAAGACGACCAGCUGGGAGGAAAAGCAACAGGCAAAACAGGCUCCUGAGGCAGUGGAACAGUGAGACUACAUUGUUGUUAAACUGGUGAUAGUGCCUACUGAAGAAGCACCAAGAGCUGUAUGCACAUACGAAAUAAAGGUCACGCCACCUCAAGGGAGAGUGCUGGGCAAACUAAGAGGUGGAGAUGGCAAAACAGGAACGGACGUGCAGCCACAGGGAACAGAGAAGCAGGACAACUUGACUAGGCCAGAGUUCUCUGAGGGAACCUGUGCUCAAGUUUCAGGAUUUCAUACCUAUCCCCCUCACCCAGGAUCCCUGCUACAAGGAAUAACUUGGUCUGUGCAAAUCCUGGAGCCAAACACUGGUGUAUAGGUGGCUGAGGGCAACCAGCACUGGCCUCUGCCACUUAUUUACAGCCAAGUUGGGCAGAAGAACCUAGCAACAACAAGACCCACAUUUGUAUUCUGUGUGAAGUACGCUAGAAUUUUGUCAAGUGGGGUCCUCUCAUAGCCACCCUAUGAAGCUAUGAAGGAAGGAAACUAGGAAGCUGCCAGGGUAGUGACUUUAAG
ensembl:lncRNA